rnacentral:lncRNA from 1 species
UUAGCAAAGUACAAAUCUUUCCUUAGUAUCAUCACACUUGAAUCAUAUAUACCUUGAAUUCAUGAACCAAUAUCCAAAAUAAAAUUAGCAUUAGUAUCCUAUGUCAUCACAUUCAUUCAUGAAUUUGAAUUGCAUUAGGUUAGGUAUUUUACAUUAACACCACCACACAUCGAUUCAAAGUCAAAAAACAAUGAAACUUUUUAAACUGAGCUUGACUUUCCUCCAUUUGCAACCUCAAAUCAUCAACACAGUGACACCGCAGAAAAGAAAAAGGAAGAAGAAGAGGAAUUAGAGGAUAAAUCAGAAGAAAAGAUGAGAAAGAAGAAAAGUAUAAGCGAGGGAGAACGAAGCCUUACUCGAGAAUUUUCCUCGCCAGCGUACUCGCCGGAGAAGCUUGCUCUGAUUUGCUAGUAUUUUUUCUUCGUGAUUUUUGUUUGAUCUUGUUAUUAUAUGAUUGAUUAUAC